UAGUAUUUCAUUUUCUUUUUUAAAGGUGAUUUUAUUUAGGUAGAGAAAAGAGAAGAAGAGAAAGACUUCCGUGAAGACUGUGGAAGGGGUUUUCAGAGGGGAAAUCCCAGAGAGGAAAGGGAGCUCCCACCAAUGUUGGGAGGGAAUUCCAGAGAGCUGGAAAUCCAGUGUGGGUGAAGGAGCAGGGGAAUUUAUCCUGGGAGAAAUUCCCACCUUCCCAAGUUCCUCUGGCCAAUGAAAGGAGUCCCUUUAAAUUUCCACCGGAGUGACUGACUCUUACGUUUCUUCCCGCACCCUCGAAAUUCAAACAUAAACCCUUAAAUCUCCCAGGUGGAGAGAUGGGAGGGGUGCAUUGCGCUACAAAAUUCUUGCUCUUAAAACUAGGCUCCAUCAUACACCCAGAAAGAGAACACAUUUCAUCACU